AAUGGGGGCAACCCUGAUCCAGCAACGCCGCGUGAGGGAUGAAGGUCUUCGGAUUGUAAACCCCUUUCGGGAGGGAAGAUGGAGUGGGUAACCACUUGGACGGUACCUCCAGAAGCAGCCACGGCUAACUUCGUGCCAGCAGCCGCGGUAAUACGAAGGUGGCAAGCGUUGUUCGGAUUCACUGGGCGUACAGGGAGCGUAGGCGGUUGGGUAAGCCCUCCGUGAAAUCUCCGGGCCUAACCCGGAAAGUGCAGAGGGGACUGCUCAGCUAGAGGAUGGGAGAGGAGCGCGGAAUUCCCGGUGUAGCGGUGAAAUGCGUAGAGAUCGGGAGGAAGGCCCGUGGCGAAGGCGGCGCUCUGGAACAUUUCUGACGCUGAGACUCGAAAGCGUGGGGAGCAAA
rnacentral:rRNA from 1 species